rnacentral:tRNA from 1 species
CAAAACGUAGCUUAAUCAACCUAAAGCAUCUGGCUUACACCCAGAAGACUUCGCACAUAUUCGAACGUUUUGA